rnacentral:rRNA from 1 species
GUCUACGGCCAUACCACCCUGAACACUUCCAAUCUCAUCUGAUCUCGGAAGCUAAGCAGGGUGGGGCCUGGUUAGUACUUGGAUGGAAGACAGGUCUUCAGAGGAGAUUGCUCAGAGACAAGCAGUUUGUAGACA